GCACGGGGGAGAGGUAGCUCAGUCGGUAGAGCACGAGACUCUUAUCUCAAGGUUGUGGGUUCGAGUCCCAGGUUGGGCA